CUACGGGGCGCUCCAGUGAGGAAUAUUGCACAAUGGGGGGAACCCUGAUGCAGCAACGCCGCGUGGAGGAUGACGCAUUUCGGUGUGUAAACUCCUUUUAUAUGUCAAGAAAAUGACGGUAGCAUAUGAAUAAGCACCGGCUAACUCCGUGCCAGCAGCCGCGGUAAUACGGGAGGGUGCAAGCGUUACUCGGAAUCACUGGGCGUAAAGGACGCGUAGGCGGGUUGGAAAGUCAGGUGUGAAAUCCUACAGCUUAACUGUAGAACUGCACUUGAAACUUCUAAGCUAGAGUAUGGGAGGGGGAGAUGGAAUUAGUGGUGUAGGGGUAAAAUACGUAGAUAUCACUAGGAAUACCUAAAGCGAAGGCGAUCUCCUGGAACAUUACUGACGCUAAGGCGUGAAAGCGUGGGGAGCAAACAGGAUUAGAUACCCGGGUAGUC
rnacentral:rRNA from 1 species